rnacentral:rRNA from 1 species
UACGGAGGGAGCUAGCGUUGUUCGGAAUUACUGGGCGUAAAGCGCACGUAGGCGGCUUUUUAAGUCAGAGGUGAAAUCCCGGGGCUCAACCCCGGAACUGCCUUUGAAACUGGAGAGCUAGAAUCUUGGAGAGGCGAGUGGAAUUCCGAGUGUAGAGGUGAAAUUCGUAGAUAUUCGCAAGAACACCAGUGGCGAAGGCGGCUCACUGGCCCGGUACUGACGCUGAGGUGCGAAAGCGUGGGGAGCAAACAGG